CCCCGCCCCUCCCCGCGCCCUGGCCUCCGGAGUCGCGGUCGCGGCCCUGGCUGGGCUCGUCCGGCCCGAUGCGCCGAGGCCCCAGCGUGGCCGCUUUGAGGGCGCCGCUGGGAGCGAGGGGAAGCCAGGAAGCGCGGGCGUUUGCCCUCCCGAGGUCGGGGAAGAGAGGAAAUGGCCCCCGAGGCGGCUCUGUCUGAAGAAUUUUACCUGCAUCAACUCACUAAUUCUCCCAACAAACCCAUGAGGUGACCAAGACCCACACGAUCCAUCCACCUCUACCUGGCUGGGGAAGAAACAGGCAGCAAACUCUCAGUUUCAGCCCACGUCACAGCAGGACUGGAGCGGUCACAGCGACCUCUUCCCACAAAGUCCUUCAGCGGGAGGAAUAACAACUUGAGUCUCCGCACAGCAGGCUCCUGGGGCCGGGGACUGCGCCCAUGCGAAGGCUCCAUCUGCUGCAGCCACCAAAGAACCACUGGUGCACUCCCGCCGCCAGGAUCGCCCCCUUCCCCACCUACCUGGGCUCCAAGUCCCCUCGGCCAUGAAGCUUCACCUCCACAAAGCCCUCCACCUCUGGCCAAGUGAAGACACUCUCACCUCUGGACUUCAUGCUCAGGCUACCUGUCCCACAUCCUGAAACUGAUUCAUGUGGUCCCCAUCUGCCCCUCCUCACAGGAACAAGUCCCGCCAAAGAUGCUCCUUCCCUCAUUGUCCCCAGCACACCUGCCAGCUCUUCCAUGGGAGGCCCUGCUUCUGGCCAAGACCUGGCAGGAGCUCCCACUUGUCCCUUUGGGUACCUCAUGGGUCCCAACCCUGGGCUGUGACCUUGCAGGCAGGUGUAUUAACCACUGCUGCUGCUGCUAAGUCGCUUCA
ensembl:lncRNA